GGUAGGAUGUUUUGGCUGACGUAAAAUUUUCUAAAUGACAAAAAUAACCUCGAUUUGCAAGGUUUUGAUCGGAAACGUCCCUAUUAUUCUUCGUCUUUACGGCGACGUCCUUGUCCAUUUGUUAGGGAAAACUCGGGGGUUGGUAUGCGGUAACCGCCCGUAAAUUUACCCCCUUUCUUUGGUCCGCGCAUCUAAGGGACC
rnacentral:lncRNA from 1 species